UACGUAGGGUGCAAGCGUUAAUCGGAAUUACUGGGCGUAAAGCGUGCGCAGGCGGUUUCGUAAGUCUGUCGUGAAAUCCCCGGGCUUAACCUGGGAAUGGCGAUGGAGACUGCGAGGCUAGAGUUUGGCAGAGGGGGGUAGAAUUCCACGUGUAGCAGUGAAAUGCGUAGAGAUGUGGAGGAACACCGAUGGCGAAGGCAGCCCCCUGGGUCAAAACUGACGCUCAUGCACGAAAGCGUGGGGAGCAAACAGGAUUAGAUACCCCCGUAGUCC
rnacentral:rRNA from 1 species